rnacentral:lncRNA from 1 species
UUCAUUUAAAUUGACAAUUUUGCUCAGUCUCAACACAAUUCAAUUCGAAAACUUUUUACUUUCACCGAAUUAUUAUUCCAAUUUUUGUUUGUUUUUUCGUAUGCAAUGGCAGACUCUGGUGGUCCUUCGUCAAAGACAGUUCAAGGCGAAGGUUCAGAGAAAGUUAAUAUGUACUAAAUUUUGUUGGUUGAGUAAAUUAAUUAAAUAUUUAAGUAGACUAAUAUAAGUUUUAUUUUGUUGGUAGACAAGAAAAAGAAGAGAUAUGCGAUAUGCGUUUGAUCAGUUCUUCUUCUAAGAGCCCCUACUGAAUCACUUAUGCAUUAGUAGGAUAUGAGAAGUCGGAUAUGGUGAAAAAGUUUAGGGGCGACGUCGAGGUAUUGGUGUGUGACAGAUGCAGAGUGAAUUGGGAGUCUUGGAGAGACGUCCCCAAGGAGAUAAAGACGGUCAUGAUCGAUUUGUUAGUUGUACGUGUAAAUUAUUAAUUAGUUAAAUAAUAAUUUUGUUCUUUAGAUAAAAUAUAAUAGUGAUAUGUAUAAUUUAUUUAUUUUUGCAUAUCAGCAUAAUUGGGAUAUUGACAAAAGUGACGCAAAUUUGAUGAAGUGCAUUGACGUUGUGUUCAAGUAUCAUUUCCGGGAGUUGAAGUUUGAUGUUGAACGUGAUGCAGAGCGACCCGGAGUGGCUAGACUAGCGGAUGAUUAGAGUAAUUUGUUUUAGUAGUCUAUUUAUGGUUUAUUAAAUAAUGACACUGAAUUAUUAUUAAUUUGGAAGAAUAAAUUUAUGGACUGUAUGUUUUUUAUUUCGUCUUGAGAACAAAUUUUCAAAAUACUAUAAUAUUGACAUUAGUAUUUUGAGAAACUGUUUUCGACACAGAAUAAAAUAAAUAUUUCUAAUCGUCGUGCAAGGAUUUAUGCGACAAAAUGUUUGUCACUAAAACCUUUGCGAGACGACAUUUCGUCAUGCAAAAACAUUGUAAAACGGUUGCUUAGCGUUUAAGUUGUUAUAUUUACUGCAUAUUUAUUGUUUAAUUACGCGACAAAAGUUUGCUCGCGCAGAAUGUUGAGGGACGAGAUUUCGUCGCGCAAAGCGAUGGUUGGUGGUGUUUAAGUCGUGUCAUUUAUUGCGUAUUUAUUGCACAUUUAUUUCAUACUUUGUGCGAAGAAAGGUUCGUCGUGCAAAGGUUGUAGUCCACAACACGCGACGAAUAGUUCGUCGCGUAAAAUGUUACGUGUUCUUUAUAAGUACAGAUUAUGUUGCGGUUUUCUUCACAUUCUUUUGAAGACCUGAUGGCAGAUAAUAAUUACAGUAGGAAAGCGAUGGUUCGGGCUUGAAUCGAGGAAAGAAACCGGCAGCAGAGCAUGCCCUCCGGGCUCCAUGAUAUGAUGAAAUAUGUGGAGUUUGCGCAUGCGAUUGGUUUAGCAAUGCAGAACAAUUGUCUUAUUACUAAGCGCGCUCUUGGAAAUUUGUGUCCAAGGACGUGAAGAAGGUGGUGAUGGAUCAAUUAUUAGUAAGUGUGGCAAAUGUUGAAAACAAUUAAUUUUGUGAAAUUGUUUGUUAUAUGUUGUAAUUAAUUAUUUGCAUAUUGUAACAGUGUAACUAUACUUAUGAUGAUACGAACGAAGACUUGAUGAAGUUGAUGGAGAAGGCGUUGAAGAGGUGUUACAAGUAGUGGUGUUAUGAUGUUGAGCCGAAUGGAGAACCAACAGAGCAGUAGUUUUAAAUUUAUGUUUUUUAGGACAAUAUAUUAUUUUAAGGUUUUAUUCUAAGUUAUGUAUUUGGACUUAAUUAGGCUUUGAUUAUGUUUUGUUGUUUAAAUAAUUAAAUGGGUUAAUUUAGUUUAUUUAAGUUUUCAAUUAUUUUUAAAAUAAAUAUUAUAAUUGAAUAUUUAUUUGUAAUUAUGAAGUUUACGUAAAUAUAGAUACUAAAGAUCUAUGUUUACAUA